rnacentral:snRNA from 1 species
UUUUCCGCGGCCGUUCCAAAUCU